AUUGAACGCUGGCGGCAGGCCUAACACAUGCAAGUCGAACGAGUGGCGGAAGGGUGAGUAAUGUCUGGGAAACUGCCCGAUGGAGGGGGAUAACGACUGGAAACGGUAGCUAAUACCGCAUACCAUCGGAUGUGCCCAGAUGGGAGUAGCUUGUAGGUGAGGUAACGGCGCACCUAGGCGACGAUCCAUAGCUGGUCUGAGAGGAUGAUCAGCCCAACUGGGACUGAGAUACGGUCCAGACUCCUACGGGAGGCAGCAGUGUGGAAUAUUGUACAAUGGGCGAAAGCCUGAUCCAUCCAUGCCGCGUGUGUGAAGAAGGUCGUCGGAUUGUAAAUCACUUUUAGUUGAGAAGCGUUACCAACAGAAUAAGAACCGGCUAACUUCGUGCCAGCAGCCGCGGUAAUUC
rnacentral:rRNA from 1 species